GACGAACGCUGGCGGCGUGCUUAACACAUGCAAGUCGAACGGAGUGGCGAACGGGUGAGUAACAAGUGGGUGAUCUGCCUUGCACUUCGGGAUAAGCUUGGGAAAAUGGGUCUAAUACCGGAUAGUGAAAUAUGAGCUCGCGGCCUAUAGGCUUGUUGGUGGGGUAAUGGCAUACCAAGGCGUCGACGGGUAGCCGGCCUGAGAGGGUGUACGGCCACAUGGGGACUGAGAGACGGCCCAGACUCCUACGGGAGGCAGCAGUGGGGAAUAUUGCACAAGGGGCGGAGGUCUGAUGCAGCGACGCCGGGUGGGGGAUGAAGGCCUUCGGGUUGUAAACUCCUUUCGACAGGGACGCGGUACCUGUAUAAGAAGCAACGGCUAACUACGUGCCAGCCGCCGCGGUAAUUC
rnacentral:rRNA from 1 species